AUGCUUUUUAUUUUGUAAUUGGUUUUCGAAUUACUGUAUUGUGUUCUAUAUCAACUUCUAAUGUUACUCGUGGAUCUAGCAUUAACGAAAGCGUUGGAUAAGAAUGGUACUAAUGAACAAAAUGAAAAACCUCUUCUUAUUGUGAUUCAGAUUUCCUGCAACCUCGUUGAACUAGGAAGAAGUAUUUGUCACUCAUUGGAGGCAGAAACAAGACAAUGUCAAGAAUAUAAAGCGAUUCAAUGUUUAGUGCUAGUUUCAGCAGAAUGUAUUCCCAAAUACACUAGCAGAUUCAUAGCAGUGUAUAGUCAGCAGGGUCUAAUGAUUAUCUCAUUGGCUCUCAAGAAUAGGGGAAAAAGGAAAAAUAUUAUAGUGUGGGAUUGGGAGUUGAAUCCUGGAUUGGCUGAAUCUUUAUAUAUCUUUAAUCUUCAUUCAUAUAUGGGUAAUUAGUGUUUUUUAGUACAUAAUGCAAGGAAAAAAACAAGAGGUUGAAGAAACGUGUUUAAGUAGUUGGCAUUUGUGUCAACUAUCUAUUUUUUGUAUAAGUCCGAGCUGGGAUUCCUGAUGCAGUUGUAACCCAUGAGAACAGUGAUGGCGCAGCUGUGAGAGAUAUCCACAUGGAAAACUUAAUGUUUCUGUCGGGGCAUGACCUUAUUGUCGAUGCUUGUGUUAAACUAUCUUUUGGAUAAUAGUUUCCAGGUUAGCUUGUAUUGUUUUACUACUGUCUAAAAAAAUACCCUCUAUUGAUUCUUUCUUUCAGGUAGUAGUCACAAAUAAGAUUUUAUUUUUCUUUUAUAUUUCAAUACACUGAAUUUUGGAAUUGAUCUUGAUUGCCGGAUAUCAAAUAAGAUAUCUUUUUUGGAACUCGCUGAACGCCUAUGUUUUUCUGUCCAGUGUUAAUAAUUAUAGUUCAACUUGUUUCCACUACCUAUGUGGUUAUGAUACAUCGAUUAAAUAAUGUGAACUAAUGCUUCUCCAGUUUUUGUUUCCGAUUGUGAAUUAUGCAUAUUACUUAUGAGGUAGUUUCUUAUAUUCACUUAGUACCAACCGGGCAUAUUUGCAUACUUGCCUUGCAGUUGUUGGCCCAAAUGGUACUGGAAAUUCAACCAUACUCAAGUUUAUUUCUGCGGAGCUUCAACCAGGCAAAGGUGAUCAUAAAAGCAGGGCUGCAUCUGCCAAGAUAACACAUUUUGCUUCUUGAUGAGCCCUGGAAUCAUCUUGUUGUCUGGGAAGGAAGGCAGGGUGAAUCCCUUCAAAGUAACAUUCUUGGAUAAUAAGAAGAUUGUACAAUCAUCAUAAAAUAAAAUAAAUACAUUAGUAUAGAACAUCAUUGUUCAAUUAGGUAGUCCUGUCCGGUGUGCUUUCUUAGUUCUUGCCCUUUUUGUAGGGUUGGGCACUUUGUGGUUGCUGCUGUACUAAUAAAUUGAUGAGAUAGUUUCUGCUCUUUUCUAUUUAUGAUGAUAUCUUCUCAA